AUACUUACCUGGCAGGGAAGAUGCCAUGAUCACGAGGGUGGUUCUCACAGGGCGAGUCUCGUCCACUACACUCAGGUCAUUCUGACCACUGCAGUUUCCCCAAACAUGGGAAACUCAACCCCAACUUCUGUUGGCAGGGGACUACAGGCCCUGU
ensembl:snRNA U1 U1 spliceosomal RNA